GGUUGGUCCGAGUGCAGUAGCAUUUACAACUAAUUGAUCAUAACCGGUACAGAUUCCUUUAUUCCUUUUCCACUCCCACUGCUUCUCUUGACCAGCCUUAA
rnacentral:Y_RNA from 1 species